ACUAUUGACCAUUGCUGCGAGUAAUUUAAUAAGAGCUAUGGAUAAUUAUUAAAGUAUCUAUCCAUAAGUCAAUUAUCACUUAAAAUUAUGUAGUUUCUUAAAUGUUGCGUUCCAGAUAUAGUUGCAUUUACUGCUAUGUAUUGUACUUAAUAAAGUAACGUGUUUUGAUUCCGCCCUAGGCUCGCGUACGCGUAGUGUAGUGUUUCACGAUGGGUAAUAAAGACGAUAGUGUGUUCCUGGCGAAGUAUUCAGCCUUUAGCCCAUACCGGUUGUUCCGACGUGAGGUGGGGUUCGCGCCGCCACUGGGCGCCGGUGACGCGCUGGCCCGCAGCCUCUACUGCGGCAUGAAACCCAUCGCCUCUUGGAGCUCCGAAGACGCGAAUGCCCUUCCCACGGGAGGCGUGUUCAACCUUGAAUUUUCACCGGACGGGUCCCUAUUGGUGGCAGCAUGUGAGAAGAAAUCUAUACAGAUAUUUGACUCACUCACUCACCGGAGGAUACACACAGUCAAUGGAGCCCACUCUGAUUGUGUUAAUUGUGUCAAAUUCCUAGACGGGCGAAUGUUCGCCACUUGCUCCGACGACACUACCAUUGCGCUCUGGGACGUCCGGAACCUAAAAAAGAAGAUUUGCUCACUACUCGGCCACAGCAACUGGGUCAAAAACAUAGAAUUCUCAAUGAAAGACAAGCUUCUUGUCACUUCGGGUCUAGACGGGAGUAUAUACACUUGGGAUAUUAAUUCGUAUUCGGAGUGUAACCUGGUGUACCAAAGAGUGUUCCACGCGAGCGGGCUGAUGCGGUGCCGGCUGUCGCCGGACGCGCGGCAGAUGGUCAUGUGCACGACGCGCGGCCUGCUGGUUAUUGUCCAUGAUCUCAACUUGAGUACGUUGGCGCAGGAUCUGCAUGGGUUCAAGCCCAACAUGUACAGACUGAUGCAAACGAGUAACCAGCUGAUCCCAAUAGCGGCGCAGUACGACCACCUGUUCGACUCCAAGCGCAGCCAGAACCGUAUCGAGUUCAUAAGCGACUUCCCGGAGGGCAACGACGCGGAGGUUGUUAGUGCGUUACAGAUACAUCCUCUAGGAUGGAGCGCAUUAAGUAGAAAUAUAAGCCACGACGACAGAUCAGAGUGGUCGUGCAUCCACGACAUCCAGCCGGUGGAGUGCGGCCGGGACUCGUCGGUGCGCGACCCGCCGCCGGCGCCGGCCGCGCCGCCCGCCCGGCGCGCGCGCCGCCCGCCGCGCCGCCCGCGCCCGCGCCCCUACCGCCAGCCGCGCCCGCAGGCCGCCGUCACGCCCGCGCUGCCCGAGCAACCCGGCACGUCGGCGCUGUCGCGGCGCGCCUGGGCGGAGCACCGCGCGACCGCGGCGCCGCGCGCGCCCGCCGCCGUGCCGCCCGCCGCGCGCGUGCCCGAGCCGAGACUAGGCGGGGACUUAUCCUCUAUUCAGAACGAUGUAUGGGAGGCGUCCAUCACGAUCAAACAACACAGAAUGCUGCAAGAGUUGGCGGGCAGUGGUAUAUUUGCAGAGGACAGGGGCACCGCAACUUCAAUAUGCAGCGCAUCAUGGGCAUUAACACCGGCAUCACGCCGCCCGCCGUGCGCCCGCGCGUACGGCCACGCGCCGACGAAGACGAACAGAGCAUAUCGCCCUCAACGUCCGGGCAGACGCCCCGGGCGUCGUCGCCGGAGCCGGAGGGCGAGGCCAUCAAGCACUACAUCCGGCAGAACCGCGACCGCCUGCUCUACUACAUCGAGGAGACCAAUGAGGGGAAAGGGUUUAUCAAAGAAUUGUGCUAUUCAGCGGACGGGCGGCUAGUGUGCUCCCCGUUCGGGUGCGGCAUGCGGCUGCUGGCGCUCGACGACCGCUGCGGCGAGCUGUCGCACUGCGUCGAGAACUUCACCGGCCCCAGACCCAUGGUCGACGUGGGCCAAAGUCUAGGACACCAUCAAGACCUAGUGGUGAGCUGCAAGUUCAGCCCCCGCUACCACCUGCUCGUGACCGGCUGCCUCGAGGGCAAGAUCGUGUGGUACGAGCCCUUCAGUGGCGAGACAAUGUAUUAGAUACUUAAUUAUAUUAGCCAUAUCAAAUAU